rnacentral:rRNA from 1 species
UACGUAGGGUGCAAGCGUUGUCCGGAUUUAUUGGGCGUAAAGCGCUCGCAGGUGGUUUGUCGCGUCGUGCGUGAAAGACCCCGGCUCAACUGGGGAGGGUCGUGCGAUACGGGCGAACUGGAGGCCAGUAGGGGGAUGCGGAAUUCCGGGUGUAGUGGUGGAAUGCGUAGAGAUCCGGAGGAACACCAGCGGCGAAGGCGGCAUCCUGGACUGGUCCUGACACUCAGGAGCGAAAGCGUGGGGAGCGAUCCGG